UACAGAGGUCUCGAGCGUUAGGCGGAAGUCACUGGGCUUAAAGCGUGUGUAGGCGGAUUGGUAAAGUCACCUUGUGAAAUCCCCACGGCUCAACCGUGGAACUGCUCGGUAUACGUGCCUGUCUUGUGCAACCGUAGGGGCGAGCGGAACAGAUGGUGGAGCGGUGAAAUGCGUAGAUAAUCAUCUGGAACGCCAAGUGGUGAAAACAGCUCGCUGGGGGUU
rnacentral:rRNA from 1 species